UACGAAGGGUGCAAGCGUUACUCGGAAUUACUGGGCGUAAAGGGUGCGUAGGUGGUUUGUUAAGUCUGCUGUGAAAUCCCCGGGCUCAACCUGGGAAUGGCAGUGGAUACUGGCAAGCUAGAGUGCGGUAGAGGGUAGUGGAAUUCCUGGUGUAGCGGUGAAAUGCGUAGAUAUCAGGAGGAACACCUAUGGCGAAAGCAGGCUUCUGGACCGUCACUGACGCUGAUCCGCGAAAGCUAGGGGAGCAAACAGG
rnacentral:rRNA from 1 species